UCGACUUUUUAUGAUCUUAAAUUAAAUUUAUGUCAAAUAUAUCAAAAUAUUAUUUAAUUUUAUGAUUUUAAGCAUGUCAAGUGAAAAAUUGAAAUUAAAGUGUUGUCAAAAAACAAGAGGAAUUAUUUUUUUAAACAUAUUAAAAAAAGUAGGUCAUUCUUUUUAGGAAACUUAAAAAAAAAAAGAAAUGUACAAUAGAUCUUAUUACCCUUGGCCUGACACUGGGAACUUCAAAGAUUUAUAUAGACGUUCCACCACCUUAACUUGAAAAUAUUCCUCCACGUCAUUCUUGAUGAUAAGGGUUAUUUAGUAAAUUAAGUCUCCACAGCCAUCUCCAUUAACCUUGAGAAUCUCAGUGACCUCAUAUUUAGUGCCCUAACAUGAAACACAGGAAACGUUUGAACUUUUGGCUCUCUAUGGUGUCUACAUAAAUAUAUACACAUACAUACAAUAGACUUUAUAUCAAAAGGUUGGAAGUUUAAGUGUGUAUUGAGUAAGGAAUAGGGUGUGAUUAUAUAGUGAGAGGGGUAAAAUCUCUAUAAAUCAAAAGGUUGGAAGUUUGCGUAUAGUGAGUAGGGCAUAGGGUGUGUUCCCAUAGUGGGAUAAAAUGAUGAGAUGCAUUGGUUAAAUUAAUUAUUGAAACAAGGCAUCUUUCAUGAGUAAUUAAACCGAUCCAUCUCAUCAUUUUUCUCCCUCUAUAUAAACACAACUAAUGCCUCACUCAACAUUCAGUUGGACUUCUAACCUUUUGAUUUAGAGGUUAUUGUGCUAGUGUAGCUCCAGUGAAGGAGACACUGCCUCACCAGUCUCCUUUGUCUUAUCAUGGAAAGCACCAUGAAAU
rnacentral:lncRNA from 1 species